rnacentral:rRNA from 1 species
GAUGAACGCUGGCGGCGUGCCUAAUACAUGCAAGUCGAGCGAACAGAUGAGGAGCUUGCUCCUCUGACGUUAGCGGCGGACGGGUGAGUAACACGUGGAUAACCUACCUAUAAGACUGGGAUAACUUCGGGAAACCGGAGCUAAUACCGGAUAAUAUAUUGAACCGCAUGGUUCAAUAGUGAAAGACGGUUUUGCUGUCACUUAUAGAUGGAUCCGCGCCGCAUUAGCUAGUUGGUAAGGUAACGGCUUACCAAGGCAACGAUGCGUAGCCGACCUGAGAGGGUGAUCGGCCACACUGGAACUGAGACACGGUCCAGACUCCUACGGGAGGCAGCAGUAGGGAAUCUUCCGCAAUGGGCGAAAGCCUGACGGAGCAACGCCGCGUGAGUGAUGAAGGUCUUCGGAUCGUAAAACUCUGUUAUUAGGGAAGAACAAAUGUGUAAGUAACUAUGCACGUCUUGACGGUACCUAAUCAGAAAGGCACGGCUAACUACGUG